UACGUAGGGGGGCAAGCGUUGUCCGGAUUUAUUGGGCGUAAAGAGCGUGUAGGCGGCCAGGUAGGUCAGCUGUGAAAACUCGAGGCUCAACCUCGAGACGCCGGUUGAAACCAUCUGGCUAGAGUCCGGAAGAGGAGAGUGGAAUUCCUGGUGUAGCGGUGAAAUGCGCAGAUAUCAGGAAGAACACCCGUGGCUAAGGCGGCUCUCUAGUACGGUACUGACGCUGAGACGCGAAAGCGUGGGGGAGCGAACAGG
rnacentral:rRNA from 1 species